UACGUAGGGGGCAAGCGUUGUCCGGAAUUAUUGGGCGUAAAGGGAGUGUAGGCGGUCUGUUAAGUCUUCUGUGAAAGCUACGGGCUCAGCCCGUAAAGUGCAGAGGAAACUGGCAGACUUGAGUAUUGGAGGGGGCAGGGGAAUACCCAGUGUAGAGGUGAAAUUCGUAGAGAUUGGGUGGAACACCAGUGGCGAAGGCGCCUGCCUGGCUGAUUACUGACGCUGAGACUCGAAAGCAUGGGGAGCAAACAGG
rnacentral:rRNA from 1 species